rnacentral:rRNA from 1 species
AGAGUUUGAUUAUGGCUCAGGACGAACGUUGGCGGUGCGCUUAAUGCAUGCAAGUCGAGGGAGAAGCAUUUGUUCCGUAAGGUUCAGAUGUGGAAACCGGCGAACGGGUGCGUAACACGUGAGAAACCUGCCCCCUUGACCGGGAUAGCCCGAGGAAACUCGGAUUAAUACCGGAUACUCUCUUUGGAUCGCAUGAUCCGCUGAGGAAACAGUCCGCUGCUAGGGGAUGGUCUCGCGGCCUAUCAGGUAGUUGGUGAGGUAACGGCUCACCAAGCCUAAGACGGGUAGCUGGUCUGAGAGGACGAUCAGCCACACUGGAACUGAGACACGGUCCAGACUCCUACGGGAGGCAGCAGCAGGGAAUAUUGCACAAUGGGCGAAAGCCUGAUGCAGCGACACCGCGUGCGGGAUGACGGCCUUAGGGUUGUAAACCGCUUUCAGGAGGGAAGAAAAUGACGGUACCUCCAGAAGAAGCUCCGGCCGACUACGUGCCAGCAGCCGCGGUAAUACGUAGGGAGCAAACGUUGUCCGGAUUUAUUGGGCGUAAAGGGCUCGUAGGCGGUUCAACAAGUCGAUCGUGAAAGCCCGGGGCUCAACCCCGGGAGGCCGGUCGAAACUGUUGUGACUAGAGUUCGGUAGAGGUGAGUGGAAUUCUCGGUGUAGCGGUGGAAUGCGCAGAUAUCGAGAGGAACACCAUUAGCGAAGGCGGCUCACUGGGCCGAUACUGACGCUGAGGAGCGAAAGCGUGGGGAGCAAACAGGAUUAGAAACCCUGGUAGUCCACGCCGUAAACGAUGAACACUAGGUGUAGCGGACUGAUUCACGUCUGCUGUGCCGUA